rnacentral:rRNA from 1 species
UACGUAGGUGGCAAGCGUUGUCCGGAUUUACUGGGCGUAAAGAGCGCGCAGGCGGUCGUUCAAGUCGAGUGUGAAAGCCCCCGGCUCAACUGGGGAGGGUCACUCGAUACUGGUCGACUCGAAGGCAGGAGAGGGAAGUGGAAUUCCCGGUGUAGUGGUGAAAUGCGUAGAUAUCGGGAGGAACACCAGUGGCGAAGGCGACUUCCUGGCCUGUUCUUGACGCUGAGGCGCGAAAGCUAGGGGAGCAAACGGG